rnacentral:lncRNA from 1 species
ACCAUUGUUCACUUUGGUUCUUAUACCGUUAUCACUCACUUUGAUUCUUACACCAUUGUUUUUAUUUCCAGUUUUUAUACCAUUGUCACUCACUUUGAUUAUUACAUCGUUGUUUUUAUUUCCGGUUCUUACACCAUUGUUGACUCCGGCUCGCACACCGUUUGUUAUUUUAUUUUCCGGUUCUUACACCAUCGUCUUUUUAUUUUUGCGGUUCUUAAAACAUCGUCUUUUUAUUUUUCUGGUUCUUACACCAUCUCCUUUUUAUUUUUGUGAUUCUUA